rnacentral:misc_RNA from 1 species
GUAGCAUCCGUUAACGGCAUUGCACCGCGAGCCGCUCUUCCCCCCCGCGAACGGAGAGCGAGACCGACUCGGAGGCAAGCGUCAUUCAAGGCAACCGAAAUCCGAGGGACUGAAUGGGGCACCGACCCAUGUUCGCCGCAUGUACUGCAUCCGAGAGAACGGUAAGUGCCCGUGUGCCGCAGAAGUCGUGUCGGUGCACGACUAAUGCGGAGCACGUGCAUUACCUUGAUAUCCUCCGGCGACCCCGCAAAGGGAGCCCGGAUAGAAGGAUAAUUCCGAGCCACGAGGGUGCCGUUUUUAAUAGGUAGUCAGCACAGGAACCGCGAAUGAACACCAGAGCC